rnacentral:rRNA from 1 species
AUAGAGAUCAAGCGUCUGAAGGGCAUCUGGUGGAUGCCUUGGCACUGAGAGGCGAUGAAGGACGUAGCACGUUGCGAUAAGCUUCGGGGAGCCGCGAGCAGGCUUUGAUCCGAGGAUUUCCGAAUGGGGAAACCCACCGCGCAAGCGGUAUCCCAUGCUGAAUAAAUAGGCAUGGGAAGCGAACCCGGCGAACUGAAACAUCUAAGUAGCCGGAGGAAAGGACAUCAACCGAGACUCCGCUAGUAGUGGCGAGCGAACGCGGACCAGGCCAGUCAUUCGAUCUACAUAACCGGAACCGUCUGGAAAGUCGGGCCAUAGCGGGUGAUAGCCCCGUACGGAUAAACCGGAUCGGAUGCUCGAGUAGGGCGGGGCACGUGAAACCCUGUCUGAACAUGGGGGGACCACCCUCCAAGCCUAAGUACUCCUCAGUGACCGAUAGUGCACCAGUACCGUGAGGGAAAG